UACGUAGGGGGCGAGCGUUGUCCGGAUUUAUUGGGCGUAAAGAGCUCGUAGGCGGCUUGGCAAGUCGGGUGUGAAACCUCCAGGCUCAACCUGGAGACGCCACUCGAUACUGCCAUGGCUAGAGUCCGGUAGGGGACCACGGAAUUCCUGAUGUAGCGGUGAAAUGCGCAGAUAUCAGGAGGAACACCGAUGGCGAAGGCAGGUCUCUGGGCCACUACUGACGCUGAGAAGCGAAAGCAUGGGGAGCGAACAGG
rnacentral:rRNA from 1 species